rnacentral:lncRNA from 10 species
GGUCGCUUCUCGCAGGCGGCGCGCUUGCUGGGUCACAGUGAGGCGGCUCCGCGCAGGCGCAGCCGGGCGGGCGAGGAGCGGGGAAGCUGACUCAGGGCUGCGGCCGGGGUCCUGCGGGGUAGGAGCGCGAGGCCGGCCUGAGGGAGGAGGCCUAGCGACCCAUCCGGCGCCUCCCGCCCCGGGCACCCGCCCGCGGCCGCGCAUCCUGCGGGCCCCAGGAGGCCUCCAUCUCAAAACAACGUGUUUUUAGAGAACUCAAGGGCUGUGAAAAGAGCAGGACCUCACCAGCUGCACGGCGGUGGUGACUGGCUCCAUCUUGCUGUCCCUCCCAAUCACACAACAUCUCCCCUUGAAGGCUCUGCCCAGGCCCGGACUCCCACCUUUCAAGAUGUCUGGAUCAGUGCAGGACCUCCUCCUUGGCCACAUCGCUCUCCUUGGACUGGUUCAAGUGAUUCUCCCACCUCAGCCUCCCAAGUAGGAUUACAGGUACACACCACCACGCACAGCUAAUUGUUUUGUAUUUUAGGAAGAGAUGGGGUUUCAUCAUGUUAGCCAGGCUGGUCAGGUGAUCCAUCCGCCUUGGCCUCCCCAAGUGCUGGGAUUACAGGCGUGAGGCACUGUGCCCGGCCUGCCCCCCUUUUCUCUUGAUGUAAGUGGACAUUUUAAUCCAUAAUCUGUAACAUUUAUGUAUUAAGUUUACUACUAUCUUUGGUUUGCAGUGUUGACUCACCUGUGGAGUGGUCUGAGCCUGAAUGCCCGGGGCUGUGGCCACCGAGUGAACGGGCUGUGCUAAGGGGAAUUGCCACCUUGGGAAACCUGUGUAGUUGCGGCUUUUCUGAUUAAGUAUCAAUAAAAGUCUGACCUUGUGAAAAAAGCAAACGUGAGUGGCCCUGCUUAUGUUUCACCUUGCGUUGCUCAGUGAUAGUUCUGCAAAGUCGCAGGAAACCUGGAAUCAUCUAAUUAUCGUGAGUGUUGGUUCCUUAUUUAAUAAUGUCUAGUUGAUUCAUUAACAUGGAAUUCAUGGCCAGUACCUCUGUCACUCAUGCCUGACUGAAGUUGAUCAGCACGUCUUUUUCUCCCUUAGGCACAUGACAGCCUUCUUGCAAUCAAGAAACUACGUGUGGCCAGGAUCUCAUCCACUAUCACAGUUUCAGCUUUCCCCAAACUGGAAUGUGUCUUUGCAGACGCCCAUCCUUAUUAAAGGGCAAAGACUUCUCAUACACCUAGGAUGGAUCUUAUAUUCUUGGCGGGACUGCAGAGAAGGUGCCGUGUCCUGAGUCCUCAUGUCAGGGCACAGGCUUCCAGCCAGUUCUACCUGGGUUAUGUUUAUCUCAAUUCCCUGGUGGUAUUGGUGUCUGCUGGGUUUUGCCAGAAUGAAGACACCGUGUUUUCAUUUGUCAGUUGAUUCGUAUUUUCCAGGAAGACAUUCUGAGAUUACAGCAUUGUCUUAGUCAAGGUGCUGCAGAAGGACAGAACUAAUAGGAUAUAUGUACAUAUGAAAGAAAGUUUAUGAAGAACUGGCUCACACCAUCACAAGGCAAAGUCCCAUGACAGGCCAUCUGCAAGCUGAGGAGCGAGGAAGCCAGCAGUGGCUCAGCCGGAGUCCAACAGCCUCAAACGGAAUCCAACAGUUCAGGCUUCAGUCUGUGGCCAAAUGCCCAGAGACCCCGGAAAGCUACUGGUGUUAGUCCCAGAGCCGGAAGGCCAAAGAACCUGGAGUGUGAUGUCCAAGGGCAGGAGGAAUGGACAGAAGCAUCCAGCAUGGGGUAAAGACGAAAGCCAGAAGACUCAGCAAGCUAGCUUACCUACUUUCUUCUGCCUGCCUUGUUCUAGCCGCGCUGGCAGCCGGUUGGAGGGUGCCCACCCCCACUGAGGGUGGAUCUUCCUCUCCUAGUCCACUGACUCAAAUUUCAGUCUCUCUGGGAGCACCAUCACACCAGAAACAAUACCAGCCAUCUAGCCACCCUUCAGUUCACCAUCACAACCAUUGUCUUAUUCAUGAAACUUCUGCAGACCCACCUUAACCUCCAUCGGUGACUUCUACCUGAAGCCCUCUGAUUGUUGCCCAGUGGUGCUUUUUAAAAUAAUUUCCAUAGUUUCUUCUACACCUUUAGUUGGCAUUCUACUGUAAAGGAGAGAUUUUAUUUUCUUACUCAUUUAUUUGUUAGUUUAUAGUCACCACCAUAUGGAUGCAGAGUUCUGUCUCAUUCACUGGGAAGUAUUCUAUUGCAGUCAUGAUUUAUUUUGAUGUUCACAUCCCAGAGUUGGUGAGUGAGCGCCCCUUCACGCUGGCUCCCGAGUGCUGACGUGUCCCCGUCCUUCUCUGCACUUUUCCUUACCUCCUGGCCUCAGAUAUUCCAGGGUCAUUUGUUCUCUCCCUGCUCCAACCCUGCAGUCAGCCAUCUCCCUAGGGACGUUGGUUCCUUUAUGGAAGGUGGCAUUUAGAAGCCAGGAUUUGGGCUGAGCACUGUGGCUCAUGCUUGUAAUCCCAGCACUUGGGGAGGCCGAAGUGGGCGGAUCGCUGGAGGCCAAGAGUCUGAGACCAGCCUGGCUAACAUGGUGAAACCCUUCCCCGUCUCUACUACAAAUAAAAAAUUAGCUGGGUGUGUUGGCACGUGCCUGUAAUCCCAGUUACUCAGGAGGCUGAAGCACCAGAAUCUCUUGAACCCAGGAGGCCGAGGUUGCAGUGAGCCAAGAUUGCACCACUGCACUACAGCUUGGGUGACAGCGCGAGACACCGUCUCAAAAAGGAUAAUAAUUUAAAAAACAGCAGGAUUUGGGUGAGCAGUGCGCUCAUUGCUUCUGGGCUCUCUCGGUGGACAUAGGCUAGGAAUGUAAGAUGUAUGUGCCUGUGUAUAUACACACGUCUGUAGCUAUGUCUAUGUUGCAUACAUGUGUUUUUCCAAAAACCAAAUCCAUAACCAUGCCUUCAGUUUCAGCCCAACACCUCCGGGCUCUUUCUAGCUUUCUACCUUUCAUGAUUGUGAAUACCUUCUCCAGCAGUGAGAAACCUGGCUCCUUUGUCCUCAGUGGAUUUUCUUAUUUGCUCAAUUUUUUUGUUUUUUGUUUUGUUUUUGUUUUUGAGACAGAGUCUUGUUCUGUCACCCAAGCUGGAGUGCAGUGGCAUAAUCUCGGCUUACCGCAACCUCUGCCUCCUGG